AUAACACAUACUUUGUAAAAAAGUUUGUAAAAAAAAAUGCCAAAAGUUUACAAAAAAAUUUCUCAAAAUAAAAGAAACACAGUGAAACGUAGAUUGUUUGAAUAACCUGUAGCUAUUGUUAAACCCUAUGUUCCAGAGAACACAUACAAAAAUCAACAAUUUACAUUCCUCGAGUGGUUGAAAAAAGACCACUCGAGGGGGAAGAUGAAGAGAUGUACCAAAAUGAACUUGAUUAUUUUGAUGAUAUACCAGAAAUAGAUGACGAUCAAGUACGAAUAUUAGAUGUCAUUAUGAACAGAUUAUUAGAAAGAGGUGAGAACGAGUUUGGUACGCCGCGUCGUUUAUUAUGUUUUGGUAUCUUAUGAAAUCAAUCAAGUUGGAAAAUCAAAAAAAAAAGUUUUUGUAUCAUUUUAUUUUAUUAAAUAUUGUAUU